rnacentral:tRNA from 2 species
GGAGGGGUGGCAGAGCCCGGUUGAAUGCGCCCGCCUCGAAAGCGGGUAGGCCUGCAAGGGCCUCGGGGGUUCAAAUCCCUCCCCCUCCGCCA